rnacentral:rRNA from 1 species
GACGAACGCUGGCGGCGUGCUUAACACAUGCAAGUCGAACGAUGAAGCCGGAGCUUGCUCUGGUGAAUUAGUGGCGAACGGGUGAGUAACACGUGAGUAACCUGCCCUUGACUCUGGGAUAACUGCUAGAAAUGGUAGCUAAUACCGGAUACGACCCUCGGAGGCAUCUUCAGGGGGUGGAAAGAAUUUCGGUCAAGGAUGGACUCGCGGCCUAUCAGCUAGUUGGGGAGGUAAUGGCUCACCAAGGCGACGACGGGUAGCCGGCCUGAGAGGGUGACCGGCCACACUGGGACUGAGACACGGCCCAGACUCCUACGGGGGGCAGCAGUGGGGAAUAUUGCACAAUGGGCGCAAGCCUGAUGCAGCAACGCCGCGUGAGGGAUGACGGCCUUCGGGUUGUAAACCUCUUUUAGUAGGGAAGAAGCGAAAGUGACGGUACCUGCAGAAAAAGCACCGGCUAACUACGUGCCAGCAGCCGCGGUAA